GUGGGGAAUAUUGCACAAUGGGGGAAACCCUGAUGCAGCAACGCCGCGUGAGUGAAGAAGUAUUUCGGUAUGUAAAGCUCUAUCAGCAGGGAAGAAAAUGACGGUACCUGACUAAGAAGCCCCGGCUAACUACGUGCCAGCAGCCGCGGUAAUACGUAGGGGGCAAGCGUUAUCCGGAUUUACUGGGUGUAAAGGGAGCGUAGACGGCGAAGCAAGUCUGAAGUGAAAUGCGGGGGCUCAACCCCUGAACUGCUUUGGAAACUGUUUUGCUAGAGUGCUGGAGAGGCAAGCGGAAUUCCUAGUGUAGCGGUGAAAUGCGUAGAUAUUAGGAGGAACACCAGUGGCGAAGGCGGCUUGCUGGACAGUAACUGACGUUGAGGCUCGAAAGCGUGGGGAGCAAACAGG
rnacentral:rRNA from 1 species